GGCACCGUGAAAACGAGCCGAACGGUGUUCUCGUCGAGAGCCUCGAGGAUCUGCACGGUGACCUCGUCCAAGGAGGAAGCAACAGGGUAUCCAGGAAUGGCACCAGGCAAUGGAAAGCCCGCUGGCACGUUGUGCUCCAUACCUGGAUUUCACGAACAAAGGGACUCGAGACCAUGUGGAACAACGAAGAAACGAAAGUUAAUGGAAGAAAAAGGCGAAUCAUUCACGAAUUCCAUAAAAGAUUGUUGCUGAACAGGGACGAACCUGACUGGUUGGGCGUUUGUGCUGCGAACGGAUGAUUCAAAGUUUCGCAAUCUGGAUGAUCUGCGCUGCGUUCGAUCGUAGCCAUUGUCUACGUUUUCUUUUUCUGCUGGUAUCGAACCUCGCGCAAAUGUCGAGACUCGUGCACAACUAAUGGUUUCAAUCUCGAGGAAGUAAUUGAAGAAAUCACGAUACCGGAAUGCGAAAGGCAAAUCGUAUUGUCAUCGACGCUUCGACACGGAAUUCGCAGUUGGCGUGUUAUUUACUUGUCACCGCGUCGCUAAGUGAUGGAGGACUUGGUGGCUGAAAGUCGUCGAAAGAGGAUCCAUAGAACUUCGCGAUGAGACUUUGCUUCUGCUUAUAUUACUCGCUCUUUUUGUUCAACGAUUUUUAUAGAGAAACAAAGUCUUUUCCUUUCGUGGAAUCAGCUAAGAUAAAGCAACUGCUUAGACACACGUGUAUGUAAUCUUUUGUGUUCACACGAGACACGUUGGAAUACUUUAUUAAAUAAACUUUCUAAGAGCAUAGGCUUCUAUUAAAGGAAUCACACAACUGUUCAACUCGGUAGCAAUUUCGAGAUGGAAGACUUUUGGUAAGGCUAUUAAAUUCCCUCGGCUACUUUCUAAGCUGUUCCUCGGACAACUGUUUAAACUAGUAAAGAAAGAAUUAGUUCGAAAGCAGUUGAGGGUCGAGUUCUGAACGAAGAAUCAUGAAAUCGAUUCAUGUGUUUAUACAUAUACAUAUAUUUAGUGGAUGUUUUUCCCUAAGAAUGAAACAAAUCAUCGUACCUACUUGAACUUCAGUUGAAUUUUGUGUCGUUAUUUUGACAAAUGUUAUCAAAUUUAUGGUCGAAAGAAGUUGGAAAGUAAGUUUUGUCGCCGCUUAUACUUGCUGACAGUCUGAACCACGCUCCAAGAUGUUUUAUUAUUUUGUUGAUAUCUUAUUUUUCUUUUAUUAUCGAACGUAGAAAGCAAGCGAAAUUAACUCGUUUCAGCUAUUAUGGAAUUUCUAAAUUUCUCCAGAAAAAUCUCAGCUUUUUCUGCAAAAAAAAAAUUCUUCCCCAAUUAGAAACAUCCAACUGUCGGUAUUAUCUGUAGCCUCAAUUACUUUUCACGCUAUUGGAACUCGAAAGCGAUUCAUCGAGUAAAUAUCCAAUUACAUCUUUCGCUGUUCCGCGUUCGAAGGAAAUUACCAAAAUCGUGCUAACUUUUGUUAAAAAAAAAAAAAAAAAAAGAAACAGAGGAACGUCUUUCCUUCUACAUAGGUUUGCAUCGUACUGUGCUUUCACUCCGUUGCUUCGAGAUGCCCCGCCCUUCCUGUUAGCACGACGAAUAAUCGCAAAGGUUGAAUAAUAGGAUCGAGCGCAAGUGUUUUGUGACGCAAUCAGUUUGGCAAGCCCGUUUGGC